rnacentral:lncRNA from 1 species
UUUCACUCUGCCAUGGCCAUGGGCUUAAGGACUCGAUCUUUCGAUCACCAUAGGAUUACUCUCAUCUAUCGAGGUUGAUAGAUCCCAUCUUAGUGCGAUCUGGUUCCUACAAUGAAUAUGCUACAGCCAACAUACACCUUAGAGUUUUGAAUGGCUAGGAGAUCGAGUUAUGGUGUAGUCAAACUAUAACACACUCGAGAUGAACUGUCGAUGCAUCUCAGAUCAAAGAACUAGACACACAACUGCAGCAUCGAGCUAGUCAUCAACGAGAAGUAGACUUCCUUUUGACUGCUCGAGGUGGUCACGCUCAGUACUCUCAUUCUCAAUGAAUACCUGUACUCUCACUUCGGUGUCUCUACACUGUAGACUCAAGACACAUCUAUCCUAAUGAAGUGAUCA